rnacentral:rRNA from 1 species
AACGAACGCUGGCGGCAGGCUUAACACAUGCAAGUCGAGCGGUUGCAGCAAUGCAGCAGUGGCAGACGGGUGAGUAACACGUGGGAACCUUCCUAGGGGUACGGAACAACUCAGGGAAACUUGAGCUAAUACCGUAUACGUCCGUGAGGAGAAAGAUUUAUCGCCCUUAGACGGGCCCGCGUCGGAUUAGCUAGUUGGUGGGGUAACGGCCUACCAAGGCGACGAUCCGUAGCUGAUCUUAGAGGAUGAUCAGCCACACUGGGACUGAGACACGGCCCAGACUCCUACGGGAGGCAGCAGUGGGGAAUCUUGGACAAUGGGCGCAAGCCUGAUCCAGCCAUGCCGCGUGAGUGAAGAAGGUCUUCGGAUUGUAAAGCUCUUUUGCCAGGGACGAUAAUGACGGUACCUGGAGAAUAAGCCCCGGCAAACUUCGUGCCAGCCGCCGCAGUAAGAC